UACGGAGGUGGCAAGCGUUGUUCGGAAUUACUGGGCGUAAAGGGUGCGUAGGCGGUUCGUCGUGUUCGGUGUGAAAUCCCCCGGCUCACCCGGGGAACUGCGUCGAAAACUGGCGGACUUGAGUGCAGGAAGGGAGAGUGGAACUCCUGGUGUAGCGGUGAAAUGCGUAGAUAUCAGGAGGAACGCCGGUGGCGAAAGCGACUCUCUGGCCUGUUACUGACGCUGAGGCACGAAAGCCAGGGGAGCGAACGGGAUUAGAUACCCGCGUA
rnacentral:rRNA from 1 species